CCGCCGCGGGAACACCGGCAGCUCUAGUGGUAGCUGUUUUAUUGGGCCUAAAGCGUUCGUAGCCGGUUUAAUAAGUCUCUGGUGAAAUCCUAUAGCUUAACUGUGGGAAUUGCUGGAGAUACUAUUAGACUUGAGAUCGGGAGAGGUCAGAGGUACUCCUGGGGUAGGGGUGAAAUCCUGUAAUCCUAGGAGGACCACCUGUGGCGAAGGCGUCUGACUAGAACGAAUCUGACGGUGAGGAACGAAAGCUAGGGGCGCGAACCGGAUUAGAUACCCGGGUAGUCCUAGCCGUAAACUAUGCGGACUUGGUGUGAGGGUGGCUUUGAGCCGUCCUGGUGCCGAAGGGAAGCUGUUAAGUCCGCCGCCUGGGAAGUACGGUCGCAAGACUGAAACUUAAGGAAUUGGCGGGGGAGCACCACAACGCGUGGAGCCUGCGGUUUAAUUGGAUUCAACGCCGGAGAUCUCACCAGCGGCGACAGCAGUAUGAUGACCAGGUUGAUGACUUUGUUUGACAAGCUGAGAGGAGGUGCAUGG
rnacentral:rRNA from 1 species